GGAGGCUCCAGUAGGUGUCGCUGUUCCCACAGCACAGGGUAUAAAAGGAAGUUGAUGUGUGGUUGCUAGGUGCUAGCUUCCUGUUGUGGGACGGGGCGGCUGACGAAGCUGCGUCAGCUGAUGCGAGUCUGAGUUUGCAACAUCACGGCAGCGGUAGAUCCGGACUGACCGAGGGGUUUUAAAGACUGGGCGUGUGGUUUUGCGACGCACCAGGUAUAAAGCUCGUUUUUUUAUCAAUGACAGCAGAAGUUUGUUUUAAAUAAGUACUAAAUUAUUUUUUAUGAAAACGUGUUUUUUAAUACGGUGUUUUCUGCUUUUAGUGUCGGAGUACUGUGCCCUGCUGUCCUGAUUUUAAGUUUUGUUUUGUGUUUUUGUUUGUCCGCUCCACACGAGGCUCUCAGCGUGGUUGAUUAAUCAGGUGUGCGAGCGGACUAAUUUUCUUUUUUGUUAUUUUGUUUGUUUAAGUCACUUCCCUUAGUUCAUACUCCUGAGAUCUGUCUAGUUCGAGUUUUGUCCGUGUCCGACUUAAAGUGUGUUGUGCUUUAUCUCGUGCAUGUCUGAAUUUUAUUUGUUGUGUCUUUUUAUGUAUUUUUCUGCACGUCUUUUUUGAAGUGUUAUUCGGCACGGUGACAGACAAUCAGACACAUGUCAAGGAGAGGAGAGCUUGGGAACGUUUUAUGUUAUUGUAUUAAUAAAACUUUGUAACCUGC